rnacentral:rRNA from 1 species
UACGGAGGAUCCAAGCGUUAUCCGGAUUCAUUGGGUUUAAAGGGUGCGUAGGCGGAAUGAUAAGUCAGUGGUGAAAUCCCUUCGCUUAACGAAGGAACUGCCAUUGAUACUGUCAAUCUUGAGUACAUUUGAUGUGGGCGGAAUGUGUCAUGUAGCGGUGAAAUGCUUAGAUAUCGGAAGGAACAUCAGUGGCGAAAGCGACCUCCUGGACCAAUACUGACACUCAAGUGCGAAAACGUGGGGAGCAAACAGG